rnacentral:miRNA from 1 species
UGGUUUCUCUAGUGCUGUGA